ACCCUCGUCCUAGGUGCCUGGGAGCCAAUCUUCUCCUAGCUACCUUCAGAACAAGAGGUGGAACUCUCAGCUCCUCCUGCAUUCAGCCCCUCCUGCACCAUGCCUGCCUGGAUGCUCCCACCUUGAAGACAGUGGAUUGAACCUCUGAACCUGGUAGCAUUUUCUGCUUCUCUGGAUAUGUGAUAAAGCCUCUGUAAUCAGAUACAGCUCUUCCUUCUGCUCCAGAGUUAAGCCAGUCAAACUCAUUCCUACGAUGGCCAGAAAACCGAUCUCCAAACAGAGUUGGUACAGCUUCUGAGGAAUGAAAGGUUUCAUGGAAAGAGGUGAAAGGGUUGCAUAGGAGAAGAGCCUUAAAAGCAUAAAGCUACGUGGAAUAAAGUAAAAGAUUCACGAGAAAACUGGUCAGUUGGAUUCAGAGUCCAAAUGUCAAAGAAGAGAUCUUGCACCAGAGAGGCAUCCAUGAAUGUCACAAAGCUUGUGGAAACUGCUGGAGAAGUCUAUCAGGCUAUGUGAAAUGUUUCUAAUCCCAAUAUUUAAAUAUUGCUCUGGGUCCGGCCAA